UACGUAGGGGCCUAGCGUUGUCCGGAAUCAUUGGGCGUAAAGAGCUCGUAGGCGGUUCGGCAAGUCACGUGUGAAAUCUCCACGCUUAACGUGGAGGCGCCACGUGAAACUGCCGUGACUCGAGUCCGGUAGGGGAGUGUGGAAUUCCCGGUGUAGUGGUGAAAUGCGUAGAGAUCGGGAGGAACACCUGUGGCGAAGGCGGCCGGCUGGGGGUGCCCUGACGCUGAGGCGCGAAAGCGUGGGGAGCGAACCGG
rnacentral:rRNA from 1 species